rnacentral:rRNA from 1 species
UACGGGGGGGGCAAGCGUUGUUCGGAAUUACUGGGCGUAAAGGGCUCGUAGGCGGCCAACUAAGUCAGACGUGAAAUCCCUCGGCUUAACCGGGGAACUGCGUCUGAUACUGGAUGGCUUGAGUUCGGGAGAGGGAUGUGGAAUUCCAGGUGUAGCGGUGAAAUGCGUAGAUAUCUGGAGGAACACCGGUGGCGAAGGCGGCAUCCUGGACCGACACUGACGCUGAGGCACGAAGGUCAGGGGAGCAAACGGG